ACUGAUAAAGCCCCAGGAAGAAAUCUGGGGGGCUGGGCUGGGCUGAUGGGAUGGAGAGCCUGGGGAAAGGAGGCUGUAGAUUGCUCUGUAGCACUAUGAGUAAAUAGGUUUAUGAAAACAGCCAGUAGAAAAUCACUUUAAAGUACUUUUUCUCAGUAUCUGCUGUCUGAUAAUUUGUCUUCAGUGUUCCUCUUAUUUAGGCCUGUAAGUAGAUCGGUCACACAAGUUUCUGGAUUUCAGGUCCCUUGAGGAGAGAUAAUAGAAAAUACCCUCUCUGCUUUUAGUGCUGAAAGACGUAGCUUGUGAAGCUUUUGGAGCUAUGUGAAAUGGAGAUCUUACAGCAGCUGACAGCAUCCUUUUCUAAAGGACGAGACAUUUUAUGUUCAUUGCAGUUUUUAUUCACUUUUGAUUUUGGUUUUAGUUUGCGGUUCUUGAUCUUACUUUAUAACUUGUCACCCUUCUUCUGCUCAGACAUUUCCAAGUGUCUUGGACAUUUAUCUUUAUCUUAACUUCAUGUUAGGCUCUUGUCUCAUACUACCAGUGAGUGGUUGCACGACUACAGCUCUGUCCCCCAGCAUGGUGCAUCCCACACUGAAAUGUGCGCAAGUCCUGUGGGAUAAGGAAAUGUAGCUGAGCUGAGGAACAGCAAAUGCUGGCAGCAGUUCCAGCCCAGCUGGGAGUCGAGGGAAGCUGACGUCCCAUGGCCAGAAAUUGACCUUGAUGCUUUUCUUAAAUUAAGUGCACACUCACAUUUUCUUUGUGUGCAACUCAAAUGAUUCAUGAACUCAACUCCUGUCAAAGUUAAUUCAAUAUUGAAAUCGUGGAAUAGAAUAGAAACACUAGAAUGCUAAAUCAAUUGUUCCACACCUGCAGGUAGCCAGAUUUUAAAAGGAGAGUACAGUCUUUCAUUCAAAACUUGAAAUGCAGUGGUUCAGUAGUGAUUUGAUCCAUCUGAGUCUCUCUAUUUCCAGUCCCUCUGCCCUGUUGCUACCAAAACUUGAUUUUCUAAAAGAAUUCUCCCCUGUACCACUAUAUUCAGCAGUACAGGACUAUGACCUCCUCACACCUGGUGCCCCAUGGGCAGCAUCAAAAUGCUCUGUGCUCUAGGCCAGCUCCUGCCAUGACUGUCCAAGUGCAGGAAGAGGAAGACUAUGGGUUGCUAAUUCGGUCUCGACUCUGUGGAGACCCCAAUCUUUUCUAGAAUCAAAUGCCCUUAUGUAUCAGAAUAAGGAGCUAGCUCCUGCUGCGUUUGCUGCCCUAGACAAGGGCAGUAAUGCUUUUGUCCUCUGCCUCCAUGAGGACUCCAAGAGCCUCUCCCAGAGCUCACUGAAGCUGGGAAAAAGACUUCACUGAACUCUGGUUUGGGCCCUAAAAAUGUGCAUGGUUAGAAGGAAAUGGAGGUCUGAUUUAAAAAAAUCUCUGCACAGGAAUAAAUCUCUGCACAGGGAUGUUUUAAAGCAGUGGAGUUGAUGCCAGGUAAACAGGGGUUGAAGUGUGAAAGGUACCUCAUUUCCCUCUUAUGUCCAGCGGAGACACAAAAUGUGACUGGCUCUUUUCGUUCCUUCCUUCCGUGCU